rnacentral:lncRNA from 1 species
AGCGGUGGUGACGGCGGUGCCGGAGGUUGUCCUUGGCAGGUUUUCCUCGGCGCUUCUCCAUGGAGGAGGCGGUGCGAACGGCUUCAGCCCCGAAUGCUCGCAUCUCCCACUGGACGGCGACGAAGGCGGUGGCCGUGCGAGCGCAGGACUGGGCGGCCUGUGUGGGGGUGUGAGCCGCGGUGCCCAAGGCUGCGCCGGCGAGGGGAAGCCGCGCGGCCGGCCGGCCGACUAGGGUGAGGUCGCCACUCCUUCCUUUCAGGCAAGCGCGAAGGGGCUGACUUGGUGGCGAGCCAGCCCGCCUUGUGUCGGAGAAGGGUUCUUCGGGCAACUUUCCUUUCCGGGUGUUCUGAAGCGGUUUUCCUGUAAUCCUCAGUGAGGAAACCCACCGUGAAUCGGAUUGCCGUUCAGUCCCACGGAAGCCUGGCUCGUUGGCCAUGUCGGGGACGCAUGUUCAUUAAGUUCAUUAAAAUAAUUUCAUUUGUCUUGGUUUGAAGACUGCUUCAUUCUGCCUCUAGUACCAGCGGUUUCUCUGUUCUGUGAUCAAUGUGAUUCACAGGAACUCCUUAAGUAACAA